GGAAACGUGGGGCUCCUGAGACUGCGGAAAGAAUUGGGAGAAGGGGAGGGCUCGAAGACCCGGGCGAGGGUUCGCCGUGCGGCCCAGGUGCACAAACCACCCUAUUUGAUGAGAACUGGUUUUAAAGGAAAACGGGGCCAUCAGAAGGAAGCCGGUUGAUGUGAAGAGACAUCUGGGAAGAGGCCCUGGCGAGGGCCCUCGUUCCACUGGGUGACCCAGAAGGAGAAAACCGCGAUGGCGCUUCUCAUCUGAAAUGUUUUCUUUAUGGACAGUGUUUAGCAAUUGUUAUAAUGUGUACUUUUGUUGAUUGAUCUGUAUAAAUAUGUAAAAUAAUUUGUUCUCUGAGUUAAUUUUGUCGGAACAAAGACUUUAGUGCUUCCUAAAUUAAAACAUUUUACUGUGUUGCCAGCA